rnacentral:misc_RNA from 1 species
GAAAUGCGAUAAGUAAUGUGAAUUGCAGAAUUCAGUGAAUCAUCGAAUCUUUGAACGCACCUUGCGCUCCUUGGUAUUCCUUGGAGCAUGCCUGUUUGAGUAUCAUGAAAUCUUCAAAGUAAAUCUUUUGUUAACUCAAUUGGUUUCUACUUUGUAUUGGAGGUCUUUGCAGCUUCACACCUGCUCCUCUUUGUUCAUUAGCUGGAUCUCAGUGUUAUGCUUGGUUCCACUCGGCGUGAUAAGUUAUCUAUCGCUGAGGACACUGUAAAAGGUGGCCAAGGUAAAUGCAGAUGAACCGCUUCUAAUAGUCCAUUGACUUGGACAAUACUUUUAUGAUCUGAUCUCAAAUCAGGUAGGACUACCCGCUGAACUUAAGC